GCAGUAGCCGCGGUAAUACGAAGGGUGCAAGCGUUAAUCGGAAUUACUGGGCGUAAAGCGCGCGUAGGUGGUUUGGUAAGAUGGAUGUGAAAUCCCCGGGCUCAACCUGGGAACUGCAUCCAUAACUGCCUGACUAGAGUACGGUAGAGGGUGGUGGAAUUUCCUGUGUAGCGGUGAAAUGCGUAGAUAUAGGAAGGAACACCAGUGGCGAAGGCGACCACCUGGACUGAUACUGACACUGAGGUGCGAAAGCGUGGGGAGCAAACAGGAUUAGAUACCCGGGUAGUCCCUGUCUCUUAUAC
rnacentral:rRNA from 1 species